CGGACUGCGUUCUUCUCUCUCCCGACAGCCCUUCUCUCCCGCGACAGCUCUUCUCUCGUCGGCUGCCAUCAUUUGUAGCAUACAUAUGUGCUAAAAUUGACCGAUCUAUUACAGAGAUCGGUCGUUUAUAGUGUUGCGAGGUUUGAUUUUAGGUAGAAAUUGGUGAUGAACAAUGGAUUUAAGCAGAUCGGCCCUCAUCCUGUAAACAACUAAGUGAACAAAUUUUCAAAUAUGCAUACAGUGAAAGUGUUGAACAGAAUAGCAAAGCAAUGUGCAAAUCAGCAACAAAUAGAAGAAUUAAAGAGAGGCAAAAAAAUAACAAAGCAAGUGCAGAGAGGGGAAAAAGAACAAGGACUAAGUUCGUGGGCAGACACAUAUUGAGAAGGCAUGAUUUGAGUUCAAUAUUCAACUGUGGAGGUAUAGUAUGUGGCUGACAAUGGUUAAUGUUUCGGCUUCUUUAUAUACAGGUACAAUAUGAUAUGAAGUGUUAUAGAGAAACGAAAAGGCAAACUUUGGAAGCAUGAACCAUCAUCAUUAUCUUAUUUAAUAUACACAUCCUUUUAGAACGAAUGUAAUAAUCAGUUUCAAAUAUUUGUAUUAUGAUCCACCGAUUCGUAUUCCAACAUUUAAUCAGACAUUGUGGGAGUGUUCUGAUAGUUACUCGAAA